rnacentral:rRNA from 1 species
GACGAACGCUGGCGGCGUGCCUAAUACAUGCAAGUAGAACGCUGAAGGAGGAGCUUGCUUCUCUGGAUGAGUUGCGAACGGGUGAGUAACGCGUAGGUAACCUGCCUGGUAGCGGGGGAUAACUAUUGGAAACGAUAGCUAAUACCGCAUAAUAGUAGAUGUUGCAUGACAUUUGCUUAAAAGGUGCAAUUGCAUCACUACCAGAUGGACCUGCGUUGUAUUAGCUAGUUGGUGAGGUAACGGCUCACCAAGGCGACGAUACAUAGCCGACCUGAGAGGGGGGUCGGCCACACUGGGACUGAGACACGGCCCAGACUCCUACGGGAGGCAGCAGUAGGGAAUCUUCGGCAAUGGACGGAAGUCUGACCGAGCAACGCCGCGUGAGUGAAGAAGGUUUUCGGAUCGUAAAGCUCUGUUGUAAGAGAAGAACGAGUGUGAGAGUGGAAAGUUCACACUGUGACGGUAUCUUACCAGAAAGGGACGGCUAACUACGUG